rnacentral:rRNA from 1 species
UACGUAGGGGGCAAGCGUUGUCCGGAAUCAUUGGGCGUAAAGGCAGCGCGUGACGGCGGCCCUCGUAAGUCCGCUGAUGAAAGUCAAAGGGGCUCAACCCCUUGAAUGCCGGUGGAUACUGCAGGGCUAGAGUCCGGAAGAGGCGAGUGGAAUUCCUGGUGUAGCGGUGAAAUGCGCAGAUAUCAGGAGGAACACCGAUGGCGAAGGCAGCUCGCUGGGACGGUACUGACGCUGAGGCGCGAAAGCGUGGGGAGCAAACAGG